rnacentral:rRNA from 1 species
UGACUAAGCCAUGCAAGUCGAAUGUAGCAAUACAUGGCGAACUGCUCAGUAACACGUGGACAACCUGCCCUUAGGUUGGGUAUAAACCCGGGAAACUGGGUAUAAUACCCGAUAGGUCUCGAUUGCUGGAAUGCAUCGAGAUUUAAAGCUCCGGCGCCUAAGGAUGGGUCUGCGGCCUAUCAGGUAGUAGUGGGUGUAGCGUACCUACUAGCCUACGACGGGUACGGGUUGUGAGAGCAAGAGCCCGGAGAUGGAUUCUGAGACACGAAUCCAGGCCCUACGGGGUGCAGCAGGCGCGAAAACUUUACAAUGCUGGCAACAGCGAUAAGGGAACCUCGAGUGCCAGGUUACAAAUCUGGCUGUCGAGAUGCCUAAAAAGCAUUUCAUAGCAAGGGCCGGGCAAGACCGGUGCCAGCCGCCGCGGUAACACCGGCGGCUCGAGUGGUAACCGUUAUUAUUGGGUCUAAAGGGUCUGUAGCCGGCCGGAUAAGUCUCUUGAGAAAUCUGGCAGCUUAACUGUCAGGCUUUCAGGAGAUACUGUCUGGCUCGAGGCCGGGAGAGGUGAGAGGUACUUCAGGGGUAGGGGUGAAAUCUUGUAAUCCUUGAAGGACCACCAGUGGCGAAGGCGUCUCACCAGAACGGACCUGACGGCAAGGGACGAAAGCUAGGGGCACGUACCGGAUUAGAUACCCGGGUAGUCCUAGCCGUAAACGAUACUCGCUAGGUGUCGGCCACGGUGCGACCGUUGUCGGUGCCGUAGGGAAGCCGUGAAGCGAGCCACCUGGGAAGUACGGCCGCAAGGCUGAAACUUAAAGGAAUUGGCGGGGGAGCA